GACAGAGGGUGCAAACGUUGCUCGGAAUCACUGGGCGUAAAGGGCGCGUAGGCGGCGCGGUAAGUCACUUGUGAAAUCUCUGAGCUUAACUCAGAACGGCCAAGUGAUACUGCAGUGCUAGAGUGUGGAAGGGGCAAUCGGAAUUCUUGGUGUAGCGGUGAAAUGCGUAGAUAUCAAGAGGAACACCUGAGGUGAAGACGGGUUGCUGGGCCAACACUGACGCUGAGGCGCGAAAGCCAGGGGAGCAAACGGG
rnacentral:rRNA from 1 species